AAGAUGGCCUGCUCUAUUUGAUUUCCAUGAGAUCAAUGCUGAGUUUAAGAGAAUUGCCACCAUCCCCCCUUAAACAAAGUUCCUGGCUCAGCUGGCUCUCCACUUGGACAACCUGGUGAAGUUGGUCAACAGAAGAGGAGAGCUUGGACUAAUACUGAAAAGAAUUGUGGCAUAAAUGGAUAAUUGUGAAGAUGUUGAUGCUGAGUGUGUCAAGGGAGUGUGUAUCUACAUGGGUGAAGACCCUGGCAUGCUUAUCCGGGAGUAUGUGGUAUGUACUUGUCUUUUUCUUUUCUUUUUUUUUUCUUUUUUUCAGACUUUCCACAGUUUGUCAUAUUACUUACUUGGCAUGAAAUGACUAACAUGGCUUCUUUUUUACAGGGCAUGGAACAACGUGCCAUCAGUGAGACUGUUGAAGACACCACUGUUUGAAUUUAUCUUCUUAAAGAGCAAGCUUCAGCAGAUGAACAAGAGUUGUCCUUGCAGGCAUCAGGGUGGCGAAGACUUUGGAUAAUGUAGCAUUUGCUGUGAUAAUGCUAUUUGGACUAAUGUAUGCAUUAAACCUUGCCUACCCUGCGGACCUUCGCUACAACUUUGACGUUUUCCAGAAGGUUUUCAUGGAACUGGAUGGAGCUAAACUCUCUAAAGUUCUUGCUUUCAAAAACCAUCUGUUUCAUUGAGAAGUCAAAGACUGCACUUCUGCAAUUCUUUGCAGUUUUUCAUUUUGUGUUCAGUAACGUUAUACUGCUUAUGUUUUUAUUGCUUUCCCCUCAUGUGACUGCAAUGCAGGAUGAUUUUUCCUUUUGGUAUCAUGUUCUAAGAAAUUUUUACUGACGAUUUUUAGCAAUAUGUUCUAAGUCAACCUUAAUGUCCUGCUUAAUGAAGAUUAAAAUUCAUGUAGGUGUUUGGUAUUAGUUAUGUAACAAUGUCAUUUAAGGCUCAACUUAGUUGAAAUCUUGUACAGGUAAAUACUUGUACAGAAGCUGAAACUGUUGUCAAAU
ensembl:lncRNA